rnacentral:rRNA from 1 species
UCCCCUAGUAACUGCGAGUGAAGCGGGAAAAGCUCAAAUUUAAAAUCUGGUGGUCUUUGGCCAUCCGAGUUGUAAUUUAGAGAAGCGUCUUCCGCGCUGGACCGUGCACAAGUCUCCUGGAAUGGAGCGUCAUAGAGGGUGAGAAUCCCGUCUUUGGCACGGACGCACCAGGGCUUCUGUGAUGCGCUCUCGACGAGUCGAGUUGUUUGGGAAUGCAGCUCAAAAUGGGUGGUGAACUCCAUCUAAAGCUAAAUAUUGGCGAGAGACCGAUAGCGAACAAGUACCGUGAGGGAAAGAUGAAAAGCACUUUGGAAAGAGAGUGAAACAGUACGUGAAAUUGUUGAAAGGGAAACGCUUGAAGUCAGUCGCGUCGAUCGAGACUCAGCCUUGCCCUCGGCUUGGUGUACUUCUCGGCUCGACGGGUCAGCAUCAAUUUUGAUCCUUGGAUAAUGGCGAGGGAAAUGUGACACCUUUUUAGGUGUGUUAUAGUCUCUCGUCGCAUGCAAGGGUCAGGAUUGAGGAACUCAGCAUGCACCUUCGGGUGUCGGGGCCUUGGCCCACGUUACGUGCUUAGGAUGCUGGCAUAAUGGCUUUAAACGACCCGUCUUGAAACACGGACCAAGGAGUCUAACAUACCCGCGAGUGUUCGGGUGGAAAACCCGUGCGCGUAAUGAAAGUGAAAGUUGGGACCUCUGUCGUGGAGGGCACCGACGCCCGGACCAGAGCUUCUGUGACGGAUCUGCGGUAGAGCGUGUAUGUUG